rnacentral:rRNA from 1 species
AGGUAGCGCCUCGAGCGAAUACCAUUGGGGGUAGAGCACUGUUAAGGCUAGGGGGUCAUCCCGACUUACCAACCCUUUGCAAACUCCGAAUACCAAUGAGUACUACUCGGGAGACACACGACGGGUGCUAACGUCCGCCGUGAAAAGGGAAACAACCCAGACCACCAGCUAAGGUCCCAAAGUCAUGGUUAAGUGGAAAACGAUGUGGAAAGGCAUAGACAGCUAGGAGGUUGGCUUAGAAGCAGCCACCCUUUAAAGAAAGCGUAAUAG